ACAAAAGCACAGCGUCACUGAUGCGAUUAAGUAGUAUUUAUAUAUUUUUUAAAUUUGUUUCUCGCCGUUAAAAAAUAGGGCAUCCCUUUUACUCCAUCCAAUGCGCGACUGUGCUAAUAGUUAUGAUUCGGUGUGAAAGUUUGGCAUGUUUGCUAUUGCUUUCUUUUGAACAAAGCUACACAUUAAAGUUAAUUGAAUUAAUUGCCAAAAUUUGGAAGUGAUUUCUAGAUAAAUGCAAGGUUAGCAAGAGCACUGUUUGUAUAGAUAACUAGGAAUGCAUCAGAUCAAAUGAGUAAACAGAAACGAUACAAAUUGUGUUAAACGAAAUGGCAGAUAGUUUUGUAAAAGACGAUGCCAACCUCACAGCCACAGUUACAGCAGAUGAGAUGAACUCACCUAUGACAGAGCUGGGCAUCGGAUUGCCCAUUUCUCCGAUUAGUACUAAGGUACUAAGUAAACUUCGCACGGCUUUCGAAAUAAUUUUAAAUUACAUUCACACCGAUUUUGGCGGGGCAGUACCGAUUUUGAAAA